UGUCAUAUAGCUCAGUGGUAGAGUACUUGCACAGCAUGCAUGAGGCCCUAGGUUCAAUCUCCAAUAACACAC
rnacentral:tRNA from 1 species